rnacentral:rRNA from 1 species
CCAAUAGCGUAUAUUAAAGUUGUUGCAGUUAAAAAGCUCGUAGUUGAAUUUCGAGAUCGGCUUACUGGUCGUGCUUUUGUACGUACUGGUAUAAUCGGUUUCUCCUUUCUGACGAACUUUAAUGCCAUUAAUUUGGUGUUUUAGGGAAUCAGGACUGUUACUUUGAAAAAAUUAGAGUGUUUAAAGCAGGCUCACGCUUGAAUACAUUAGCAUGGACUAACGAAAUAGGACGUUUGAUUUUAUUUUGUUUGUUUCUAGGAUCGACGUAACGGUUAAUUGGGAUAGUUGGGGGAAUUAGUAUGCAAUUGUCAGAGGUGAAAUUCUUGGAUUUAUUGAAGACUAACUACUGCGAAAGCAUUUGCCAAGGAUGUUUUCAUUAAUCAAGAACGAAAGUUAGGGGAUCGAAGACGAUCAGAUACCGUCGUAGUCUUAACCAUAAACUAUGCCGACUAGGGAUCGGAUGAUGUUAAUUUUUUAAUGACUCAUUCGACGCCUUACG